GAGGGUAUAGCUCAGUGGAAGAGUGCCUGCCUAGCAUGCACAAAGUCCUGGGUUCAAUCCCCAGUACCUCCA
rnacentral:tRNA from 1 species